UGGGGAAUAUUGCACAAUGGGCGCAAGCCUGAUGCAGCCAUGCCGCGUGUAUGAAGAAGGCCUUCGGGUUGUAAAGUACUUUCAGCGGGGAGGAAGGGAGUAAAGUUAAUACCUUUGCUCAUUGACGUUACCCGCAGAAGAAGCACCGGCUAACUCCGUGCCAGCAGCCGCGGUAAUACGGAGGGUGCAAGCGUUAAUCGGAAUUACUGGGCGUAAAGCGCACGCAGGCGGUCUGUCAAGUCGGAUGUGAAAUCCCCGGGCUCAACCUGGGAAAUGCAUUCGAAACUGGCAGGCUAGAGUCUUGUAGAGGGGGGUAGAAUUCCAGGUGUAGCGGUGAAAUGCGUAGAGAUCUGGAGGAAUACCGGUGGCGAAGGCGGCCCCCUGGACAAAGACUGACGCUCAGGUGCGAAAGCGUGGGGAGCAAACAGG
rnacentral:rRNA from 1 species